rnacentral:rRNA from 1 species
AUGCCGCUGCGUGGGCGCGGCCGCAGCCUCCUGCUUCUCGUCGUCGUGCUGUGGUGCUCCGCGCUCCGGUGCGCCGCGCCGGACCUCGCCGCGGACCGCGCGGCGCUGCUCGCGUUCCGGGCCGCGGUCGGCCCGGGGCUCCCGUGGGACGUGUCGGCCGGGGUCUCGCCGUGCGGGUGGCGCGGCGUCGGCUGCGACAACAGCACCGGAGGCGGCCGCGUCGUCGCGCUGCAGCUCCCCGGCGCCGGCCUGAUCGGUCAGCUGCCGCUGGGGACCGUGGGCAACCUCACCGCGCUCAGGGCGCUGUCGCUCCGCUCCAACGCGCUCUCUGGCGGGAUCCCCACGGACAUCGGCAACUGCGGGGAGCUCCGGUACCUCUACCUCCAGGACAACAAGCUCGCCGGAGAGAUACCGGAGGGGUUCUUCUCGCUCGGCUUGCUGCAGCGGCUCGUCCUCUCGAAUAAUCGUUUCUCUGGCCGUGUGUCGCUGGAGUUCAACAAGCUCCGCCGGCUGGCCACUCUGUACUUGGAGAACAACGUCCUUAAUGGCACCCUCCCUGCCGACCUUGAUCUCCCUAAUCUUCAGCUGUUCAACGUGUCCGACAACCAGCUCAACGGCCCUGUGCCAGCGUCGCUCGCCGGAAGACCGGCCAACGCCUUUAGUGGGACAGCGCUAUGCGGCGCCCCUCUAAGCCCGUGCGCGAACACUUCGCCGCCGCCACCACCGCCGUCUCCAUUGCCAUUGCCUCCUCCGGCCUCUCCUGAGGACAGCAAGAGCAGCAAGCUCUCCACUGCCGCGAUCGCCGGUAUUGCUGCGGGCGCCGUCGCGGCGCUCUUGGUGGUGCUCGCCGUGAUCUUCUUCCUGCUCUGUUGCCGUCGUCGCAAGACAAAUAAGGCCGACACUUCCACCGAGACGGCGGCCUACGGCGACGAGGACGCGUCACCGGAGACGGUGUCCGUGGCGAGGGCGGAGAAGAGCGGCGUGAAGCCGUCGCGCUCCUCGAAGCCGACGGCCAGCGACGCCAAGAAGCUGGUGUUCGUGGGAGGUGAGCCGGAGGUGGCCUACGAACUGGAAUCGCUGCUGCACGCGUCGGCCGAGGUGCUCGGGAAGGGCUGGCUGGGCACGACGUACCGCGCCACGCUCGAGGGCGGCGUCGCCGUGGUGACCGUCAAGAGGCUGAGGGAGGUGCCCAUCCCGGAGAAGGAGUUCCGCGGUACGGUGGCCGCGCUCGGCGCGCUCCGCCACGACAACCUGGUGCCGCUCCGCUCGUACUUCUACAGCAAGGAGGAGAAGCUCAUCGUCUACGACUUCGUGAGCGCCAAAGGCCUCUCCUCCCUUCUCCACGGCGCGGGCAGCGAGCGCCUCGACUUCACGGCGCGGGCGCGCAUUGCGCUGGCGUCGGCGCGCGGCAUCGCCUUCAUCCACGGCGCCGGCGCCGGCUCGUCCCACGGCAACAUCAAGUCGUCCAACAUCCUCGUCAAUGACGCGCGCGACGGCGCCUACGUGGCCGACUACGGCCUUGUCCAGCUCGUCGGCGCCAGCGUGCCGCUGAAGCGCGUGACGGGGUAUCGCGCCCCGGAGGUGACGGACCCGCGUAGGGCGUCGCAGGAGGCCGACGUGUACAGCUUCGGCGUGCUGCUCCUGGAGCUGCUCACCGGGAAGGCCCCCGCGAACUCGGUGCCGGGGAGCGACGGCGCCGCGGACCUGCCGCAGUGGGUGGGCACGGUGGUGCAGGAGGAGUGGACGGGCGAGGUGUUCGACGCCAGCAUCGCCAACGAGGCGCUCGUGGAGGAGGAGAUGGUGCGGCUGCUGCAGCUGGGCACGGAGUGCACCGAGCGGCGGCCCGACCGGCGGCCCGCGAUGGCCGAGGUUGCCGCGAGGAUAGAGGACAUCGUCGGCAGCGUGCAGCGGAAGACGGACUCGGCCGAGUUCCACAGCGUGUCCGCCGACCAUUCGGCGUAG